CAAUUUGGAACAAGAGCGGUAAAAAGUAGUUGUAAACGCGGUCCUCCUCAAACCCUUCUGGGAUAACCGGAAGAGCAUCAUCAAGGCCCUUGACAGGUUGAUCGAGCCACUGACUCUGGCGAAUAUCAAACAUGUACAAACCAGGCUGCUGGGAGAACAAGGAACUGCAUGUUGGUUUCUUGGUCCCAAAGCAUACUAAGUAGGAGUCACCGUAGAGCACCACUCCGGGAGCCAAGCGACCCCAGAAAUUCCUAUAGAGGCACUCCCACUCCUUUUUCUCCAAAUCAAACCGAACCAAGGUAUUAGAUCUGGCGCCUUUGCUAUAGGCGUAAAUAUACUUGUUAGAAAUACUGACAAGAUGCGGUGCAACUCCUAAUUCGAUUGGGAAUUCGGAAGGGAACUCUGAACGGACGUCACCGCCGCUGCGAGGAUCGAAACGGAAACGGUAGCAGCGUCGAGGUGCCAAGGUAUAGACGAGACCGUCAUCGGAGCAGGCCACCGAGCCGGUCGAAUAUAAAGUCCAUUCAUCUUUUUCGAAACGCCAUUGUUGCUUGCUUGCUUGUUCCGAUAAGUCCACGUGAUCAUACCCAAAAGAGUAUUGCACUGAACCACGUCUACCAGUAUAUUUACGUCCACCAAUCAUGUAUAAUCGGGAGUUCAACACCACAAGGCUGUUAGGAAGGGGAAGGUAAUCAAGCUGGGGAAGAUCUAGUCCAUGGAAGAUUACCUUAUCAUCGUCGUCGUCAUUCUCUUCAGAUCCUUGUUCCCUUGGCCGCCGUCCGUCCUCAAUUACGAACCAUAAGCACGACUUGUCUUCGGCCCUGACCUGUAGGUAGAUCGGUCUGUCCCACUCAACCUUCUUCUUCUCUCUUGUUCCCAUCAUCUCCAUCGUUCUUGUUUUCCUUUCGAUUCCCAUCCUCUUCCUUUCGAUCAAACCCUAGUUUCGAUCAAUUUUUCUCGUUUUUCUUUUUUGACCGUCUGCGAGAGAGAAGUACUGCUCCCAUCGCUUUGGUCUUGAUGCCUAUAUAUACAUACUUACAUAGAUGACCUAGUUUUCAUAGGGAAAGAAGAAAAAGGAAACGAAUAAAUAAAAAAGAUUGAUAAACAACGUAGAAUAUCAAUUAUUUUUGGCAAGUUAUUUCCUUAAUGUGUACUGUUUAGGAAUAUGUUUUAAAACCUUCCUUCUUCUUUUUUCGUUUCUUCCCAAAAAAAACCCUUCCUUCUUCUGCCUUUUGUUUUCUAUUUAUUUCCUUAAUUUUUUCCCCCUACAAUUAAGUUCCUUUGAAAACUAAGUGAUCCCUUCUGUAUAUCGUAAUCAGAUGGUGCUAGAUUUUAUCUCCAUAUCUUCGAAUUCACAAAGAUUCCUAAUCAUAACCCUAAAUGAAUCGUCAUUAAUAUGAAAUUCAUUUAGAUAGGAAAAGGAGUUCAACUGAGCAAAGCAGUUCAAUUCAGCCAUCUACACAUGAGUUGGUAAGCUUAUUCAAUUGAAAUUGUAAGCUUCCGCCAUUACAGAUAAAGCUGGAACAUCAAAUUGAAUCAAAUCCUAAGCCAUCUACUCCACUUAGCAAGAAUCUAAUCAAACUAAUAGACAAAAUCAAACGGACCAACAAGAAUCUAAUCCUAUGCCAUCUACUCCAUUCAAUUAGAAUUCAACAUGUGUUGUUGCCUCUCAAUUCAGUAGCACUCAGAUAAAAAGGAAAGAUGAUUUCAUGGAUAACAUACCGAAUUGUAGACAUUCAUUUCAUAUAUCGUUGGAGUCGCUAGCGGAGGCCCGAUUGCUUCUUUUCGGACUGCCGUGAGUUUGAGGUUUUCCUGAGCAAUUGUAGUAUUGAAGCCGUGACCUGCAAAUCGAAGCAAACAAGUUCAAUCGAAGAAAUUAGGGUACAAAAUGCACCAUGCCAAUGAAGAACCCAAAGAGGUAUAUGAUCACGUCAGGCAGAUAGAAUGACCCAAAUGACUAAUUCCCACUUUCAACCAAUUGGGAACUUGAGAAAAAUGAAGAUGAAAGUGGAUCAGAUUGAGAGAGAAACGAAAGACGUCAAAAUCUGACCUACGCAGUUGGACAAGGUUGAUUGAUCGUCAUUCUCUAGAUUUGGUACCUGGUUUCAGUUGGUAUCAUCUGUUUGUCGUCUCCACUUGCUUGAGCUCUUUCCAUCUUCAGACAGAGAGAGAGAGACGAAAAAGAAAUCGUUCAGAUUGAGUUUGGUAUUUCAUGCAUCUACUGAAAUCCUUUAAAAUCAGUGGAGUUUUGAAUAUUGAUGAGGCUUUACAACUCUCUUUGUGGAAUGAAAUUUCGGCUUUUAAAUCGCUAAAUGAUGAGGCUUGGCUUCUUAUGGGGGAUUUUAAUAUUGUGGAAAAUUUGAAUGAAAAACUUGGUGGUGUUUUAUGCAUCACAAACUACAUGGUCAACUUCGGUAAUUUCCUCAAUAAAAAUAAUUUAUGUUCUCUGCCUACUUCAGGUGUGCCUUUUACUUGGACAAAUAAUCACAAGGAUCAUACAGUUGUCUAUGAAAAGCUUGAUAGAGCUUGUGCUAAUCCCAAUUGGGUUAUCCAGUUUCCAGAAGCUGAAGUGGAAAACCUCCCAAUUGUGGGAUCUGAUCAUGGACCUGUUUGUGUUUCUCUGAAUCAUAAAUCUCCAAAAAGGGCUAGCCCGUUUAAAUUUGAGGACAUUUGGAUGACACACAGCUCUUUUAAGUCUCUCGUGAGAAAUAUUUGGCAACCAAUGCAUGAUACAAACCCACAAAGAAAUUUUACAACUCUUUGUGGGAAAUUUGCAACUCUGGCAAAAAGUUGGAAUAAAGAGGUUUUUGGCAACCUUUUUAGGAAAAUAGAUAUGCUGCAAGAACAAAUCUCUACUAUACAAGCUCAAUUAAUGACUGAUCCUGACCCUAUUGUUUUGCAGGUAAGGAAUGUUUUGCUUCUCUCUGAGUUAGAGGAAUUAUACAAAAUGGAGGAAUUAUUCUGGGCUCAAAAGGCAAAGACAAAUUGGCUGGCUCUUGGUGACAGGAACACCAAAUUUUUUCAAAUGAAAGCAAAUAUCAGAAAAAAAACUUUAUUCAUAGAAUCAAGGAUGAUAAUGGAUGCUGGCUCACUAACUCUGUUGACAUCAAUAGGCAGUUUGUUAUGGAUUUUAAAAAGCAUUUUACUUCAGAUACUAAUCCUAGCAGGAGUUUACUUGAUAAUUUUCAUAAUUUUAUCAAUCCAGUGGUCAUUAAACACUAUUCUGAUGCAACAGGUUACUGAAACUGAAAAAUCUUUGAAGCUGUGAAGGCAAUUGCCCCCCUAAAAGCCCCAGGCCCGACGGACUUCACGCUACUUUCUUCCACAUUUAUUGGGAGGAGGUCAAGCAUGCAGUUAAUCCUAUGGUUAAACAAUUCUUCCAAGAUGGUACUUCUCUUUCUGCUAUAAAUCACACUAAUAUUUCUUUGAUUCUGAAAAUUGACAACCCUGAAGAGGUUUCUCACUUUAGGCCUAUAAGUUCGUGCAAUGUCUCUUAUAAAUCAUUUCUAAGAUCAAUGUGAAAAGGCUUCGGCCAAUUCUUGAUAACUGUAUUUCUAAGAACCAAGGAGCUUUUGCUCCUGGUAGAUCUAUCCAUGAUAACAUCCUGAUUGCUCAUGAACUUUUUUUUGAUUUCCAAAGGAAAAAAGGUAAAAAUGGUGCAAUGGCAGUUAAGCUUGACUUAGAAAAAGCUUAUGAUUUUUUAAAUUGGAAGUAUAUAUAUUAAAGCUCUGACAAUUGGGUCAACUAGAUUAUGGAAUACAUUACUUUUGUUUCUUUCUCAAUUGUUGUUAAUGGAAAACCUGAAGGCUUCUUUCUCCCAACAAGGGUUGUAAGACAGGGAGACCCUCUUUCUCCUUACGUGUUUAUUCUUUGCAUGGAACCUCUUAUUAGGCAUCUAAAUACCUAAAUAAGCUUGUUGAGAAGUCAAGUUCUCAUGUGGGUAUUCUCUCCUCCCCCAGGGGUUUUAGAGUCACAAAUUUAAUGUUUGCUGAUGAUUGCCUCAUAUUUUGCAAAGUUUCGACAAAAGCUGCCAGAAAUGUUAUUAAGGUUCUCAACAACUUUUCUACAGCUUUUGGUCCAAAAAUUAAUUUUCACAAGUCUUCUCUGUAUUUUGCUCCUGUUGUUCCUAGUCAGACUAGGAAUGAAAUUGUUAACAUCAUGCAUAUUCAACAUAAGGCUACUGUAGGUAAGUAUUUAGGCAUUCAUAAUAUCAUUUUCUGGAAAGACCCAACUAAUGUUAAUGGUUUAUUAUCAAGAAUUAAUAACAAGCUGGCAGGUUGGAAAAAAAGGAUCCCUUUCUAAAGUAGGAAGACUCACCUUAAUCAAGGCUAAUAUUUCAGGUAUGCUAAAUCAUGUUAUGUCGUGUUUUAAAUGCCCUGCAAAAAUUACAAAGGCUAUUGACAAAAAAUCCAGAAAUUCUUCUAGGGCUCUCAAAGCAAAGCUUGUGCUGUGGCUUGGGAUCAAGCUUGUACACCCAAGGACAAGGGAGGCCUUGGGUUAAGACCUUCAGAAUGACUAUUGGUGGGUUCAGAUUGUCUCUAGGAAGUACCUUAGGAAUUCCUCUUUUUUCCAAGCUAGAAAGAAGGCCUCUUCCUCCUUAGCGUGGAAAGGCAUUCUUGACUCUAGGAACCUCAUUCAAGAAGGAAUGAGAUGGAUUGUUGGUGACUGCAACUCUAUCUUGUUUAAGCUUUUUAAUUGGGCUUUUCCUUUUCCCCUUUGUAAUUUAAUUGAUGUCUCUCAGCAUGAUACCAUUAACUUGAAUGACACUGUUGCAGAUUACAUUAUUGGAAAUAAUUGGAACAAGCAGAAGCUUCAAAUCUUGUUUGAUGCAGAUAUUGUGGAUCAAAUUUGUGGAAUUCCCAUUCCGAAUACUCCUCAUAAUGAUUCUUUUGUUUGGGGUCCUUCCCCAAAUGGAAGUUUUACAAUUAAGUCUGCUACUUGGAUCAAAAUGCAAAGGUUCAACCUCAUGAACAAUCUCCUUUUAUCAAAAAGCUGUGGAAGCUUAAUGUGCCCCCCAAAGUUAAAAUCUUUGGCUGGCUUCUGUUGCGUGGAAGGCUAAAGACUAGAGAUUGACUUCACAGGUUUGGGUUUCUAAACCAUAAUAUUUGCCCUAUUUGCAAUGUUGAGGAAGAGACCAUGGACCAUUCAUUCUGCCAUUGCCCUUCUAGUCUUGCGGUUUGGAAUCUUGCUCAUUGUAAUGAUCUUUCAAAUGCCAAUGAUAUGGUUGAAACUUUAAAUGAUAUUUUCAUUAACAGGCCCUAUGAUGCUGACAAGCUCUCAAAAAUUAUUCUUCUGUGUUGGCAGAUUUGGCAAAAAAGAAAGAAUGUCAUUUUCAGGAAUGAAAUUUUCUCUCCCCAUGCAGUGGUAGCAGGUGCAGCUGCUUUCACAAGAAGAUUGAACUCUCAAACCAACACUUCUUCUUGUGUGGCAGCUCACUCAAACAACAUCAAGUGGUCUCUUCCUUCAUCCGGCUAUGUCAAAUUGAACUUCGAUGGGUAUGUCUUUCAACACAACUCCAAUUUUGCUUCAGGCUUUGUUUUACGAGAUGAUUCUGGCUGUCCUCUUAUUGCCUAUACCAGAAGGAUAGGGAAAACUGAUGUCCCUAUAGCUGAGGUUGUUGCUCUUAGAGAUGGUCUUCUCUCUGCUCGAAAUCGCAACAUCUCGAGAGUAAUUGCUGAAGGAGACUCACAACUUGUCAUCAACUGCAUCAAAAGCACUACCAGUAUUCCUUCGAAGCUAAGCUCGAUCGUGAAGGACAUCAUACAUAUUGCUACGAGAUUUGAGCAUAUCUCUUUUUCUCAUACGUUCCAGGAAGCAAACUUCAUUGCAAAUGUUGUCGCCAACCAUAGUCAUGUUUUGGGAUUUAAAUUUUUCUCAGCCGGUUGCUACUGCUUUAAAUUUCGACUUCUUUGAAGCUGGUUGCUCUAGAGGUUUCUCUUUGUAAUUUAAGUCUUUUAGCAUCCAAAAAAAAAAAAUCAGAUUUCUAUGGAUAUUUUAAAGUCUGAAUUGAAGGAGUCCUUGUAGUGAGGACCCUUAAAUUAAGGACUAGUUGAUGACUUUUCGGUUUAUGGUUUAAAAGACCUAUUUUUUUUUUUAUCACAUCUUGGCAUCUCAUCCGUUCAGUUUUUAAGUCUAUAUGUGUAGAUCAGCCCUACAAAUUUUCAGCCAAAUCGGUGAUCGGUAAGGUAACAAACUAGAUCAAAUUAAUGGACAAACCAAAUCUGUCAAACAUGAACCGUUCAAGUUCAUAAUUGAUAAAUCACACUUAUGAAUGUCUUAACGACUUUUAAAAAUUUGCAUAAAUGAUGUACUCAUAAAUACCUAUAAACUGAACAGUCAAGAUGUGGAUAUAAGAUCGAAAAAUGAAAUAAACCGAAAAGUGAGAUAAGUCGAAAAGUCCUCAAGUAGUCCUGAACUUAAGUAGUUGAAAAGUCCUUAUUAGAAGAGCUUCCCUGAAUUGAAUACCACAAGAUUUUAAAAGAGUUUCUGAAAUCUUGAUUGAAUACCCAUGCAAAGACUUUUAAAAUCUAAAAAAAAUCCAAUAGACUCUUAAUUGAAUACACCCCCCUAAGUUCCUUUGAAAACUAGGUCCUUUCAAUAUAUCGUAAUCAAAUCAUGCUAGAUUUUAUCUCCAUAUCUCUGUCAUGCUGAAUUCACAAAGAUCCAGCCGGUGGCGUGCUGGUUGUGGCUCAUUUACUGAUGAACUCACAUUGUGGAGUUAAUAUGUGGGAGUGGCUGCAAAAUUGAUUGCAGUGGUCGAGGUGUUUGUAAUCGUGAAUUGGGACAAUGUUGGUGCUUUCAUGGAUAUAGUGGGGAAGGAUGCUCUGAGUCACUGCAGCUAAAAAAUUCAACUACCCUGGAUCACCAGAUUAACCAUAUGGGAGAUGGGUUUCCUCAAUUUGAUCGGCUCAUUGUGACACAAAAAGAGCAAUGUGCUUCUGUGGGGAAGGCACUAAAUACCCAGAUCGACAUUUAGCAGAGGCAUUUGGCGUUCAAGUGAAGCUACCCUCUGAACCUGGCACACCUAUGCUGACUGACUGGGCAAAAGAUGAACUUGAUAAUCUUCUUUCAACAAAUAGUAGCGAACCUGGAUGGUGCAAUGUCGAUCCUACAGCAGCAUAUGCUCUGAAGGUGCAAUAUAAACAGGAAUGUGAUUGCAAAUAUGAUUCUCUCGGGUCAGUUCUGUGAAGUACCUGUGCUAGGUACUUGCAUUAGUCAGUGCUCCGGCCAUGGACAUUGCCGUGGUGGAUUUUGUCAGUGUAACAAUGGCUGGUAUGGAAUCGGUUGCAGUAUUCCAUCUGCGGCAUCUUCUGUUCGAGAGUGGCCUCAAUGGCUACGGCCUGCUCAGGUUGACAUUGCAGAUAAUUCACAUCUAUAACCCUAAACGAAUCAUCAUUAAUAUGAAAUUCACCUCCUUUUUUACGUUUUUUUUAAAACCAAGCUGUCAGUUUUUUUAUUUUUUUAAUCAAAUCACAGUAUUCUAAAGGCAUUCUAUGCUCAAGGACUAAUCCGCUGCGGCCUCGACAAUAAAGGCAUUGUAGCCUCUCCCGUGACUAGUUUUGACAGAAUCGUGGUUCGAACCUAAGUAGAUAUCCCAGCGAUUGCUGGGCUAUUUCACUGCAUCGCCGGGACAGGAACACGAACAGGCACAUGACUUCACCACCGACUAGCCACGCACCAAGGGCUUAUGGGGUUUCAAACUCUAGAUUGGGUGGUUCCCAGCUAGCCAUUCUACAGCCCCACUUUCCCUAGUGUUUUCAUAUAAGUGCAUGUUAAAAAUAAUAAAACGAAUGAUCCCUAUUUAAAAAAAAAAAUCUUUUUAUUAAUUAACUCACUUUUACAAACAUCUGUGAGAUUUAAACCCGUGACCUCAACUUUUUACAAAUGAUCCACAUUGGCUUAACAACAUACUUCGACCAAUAAUAAAUGUUUGGUCAAGGAAGAGCAAAAACUACAAUAUAAGCUCAAAAAACCAUUAUUACUCGAACUCCAAAAAAAAUACGGUACAAAAAUAUGGACAACCAAAAAGGAAACACAGGGAACUUACAACACGCCUCUUUUUCUCCACAUCUGCUUUGAGAAGCUUAAUUAAGAUUUAAAUUGUGUACCGGUCCACACAUCAAAUCAGUUAACAGCUUCAAAUUAAGAUUAUAAGGAUGUUCAAAUCACGCUUACCCUAAAGGCAAGGAAAUUGACCAACACACUAGACUUCAUACAAAUUUGCAUAAGCUAGGGACCCAAACAACCCGUUGCCCAAAAGCCCAAACCCAUCACACCCAUCCAAGCCGGCCGUAAUGUCAAUCACCACCUUUCCGGCGGUCGUACAUGGCCUUCCACCAUCAGGUACUGCCUCCCUAACAACCCAAGCACAAAAUCUCGAUAUAGUGCCCAAGGAAACGGUUGUCUCCAAGUUGCAACCUGAACACUCGGUACGAAUCAUAUAGUAUAUUCCCCAAAGCAUGUAAUAGCAGAUCCAGAUGUCAAGACAUGAUAUGAAGCAAACGAUGACAAAUCAUUCCGGAAUUCAAAAACACAUGAUUUCACGACCAACGAACAAGUCCUGGUCUUCAAAACGACGCCAGUGACCCAUAAGAUCACAUCGCCAAAAGACACCAAUAUAACGCCCUAAACUGCACCUCCUCAGUUUAGGCACGUCACAAUGCCGCGUGUCAAAAGAAAAAACGCAAAGCAAUUAAUGUAAGAAAACAUUUAAGAAAAACACAACAAAAGCGUCAAAACAUUUUGAGGUGUAAAACUUAAUUUUUCUCAAAGUACUUUAAUUCACCAAAAUACUGAUACAAGGAAUGAUUAUGAAAUCAUGAACUCAAAGGAAUACAAAUUAUCAAUUAGAGUAUCAUAAAACAAACUCAUAACAGGAUUGGGCUUUUCCCUUCUCCUAAAACUUGAUUUACGGAAUGACAUAAUUAAUAAACUUAAGGAAUAAAAUUACGAAGCAGAACAGAACAGAACAAAACCAACAAAAUAGAAUUUGGUACAUGAAACUCAAAUAUAAAAAUAAAGGCCAUAGAAACCAAGUUACCAAUCAUAAAUAUGCACAUCCAACUCCUCGUCACUAUCCGUCCCAGUGCACAGUACCUGCAUCCACAAACUGUUGUAGGGAUGAGCUUUCAUCCUCGCUGCUCGAGGAACUCUUGAAAACAGAUAAAGAAAUAGUUUCAUAGGGCCCAGUAUAAAAACAAGAUUGAAUCCAAAUAUUUAAUGAACGACAAACUUUCGAAAACAUUUCUAUGAUCAAAUAAAUGAGGCGCCAUAAACUGUACCUGAUGGCCGGUCCUUUUUAGACCCACUAUCAACUUUCCUCACUAUAUGCGUGUACAACAGGUAAGUGUAGCGAGUGUCCACAAAUGCCUUAUCGCCUAGAAGCAGUGCCACUCCACAAGGAACGUAAGACACUCUUCCGUCCAUAGAGGCCCCUCCGGAGGUUUAGGGGAUUGAACCCAAGGUAGUCGCUAUGCUCCUCUCACUCUCAAGCCAUCACUAUCUCAUAACAUCGGUUACAUUUUUAUCGGAUAACUAGAUCAUGUAAUAUCAAAUAUGCAUUAAUAGUUUAUAAAACAAAUAUUACUAAUCAAGGGAGUUCCGGGUCCCCUACCUGGAAUCCGUGGCUUUCCUCGCGAACUCCCAAAACCACGAGCCUUCUGCCCCUCGGGUAACUGGAGUCCCUAAUGUCCGACAUAUAAUUGUCAAUAACUCAUUGAACACAUAUUGUAUAAAGUUACGAAGACUAAGGAAAUAUCCGACCAACUUCCAAACUGAGAGUUGACCAACAUUCAACCCACUAUAUUCUGAAAGUUACAGCUCACUAUAUUCUGACCAUUCAUGACCAACUCGACACUAAUUCCCUAUUAAUAGACAUAAGGUCUCUUUCAAGGCUUGCUCCCAUAACUUACUCAGAGCACCCAAUAUUCAGUUUUCCUUUCCUUUCCUCAGUAAAACUUUUUAUCCAUAACUGUUUACACAAUACUUACAAAAGUACCAACGCUGUUUUUGGUGACUAUAUGAGCUAUAGCAUUCACUACUUAGUCAUUUAGUAUUAAAUCUCCACACCACAUCAAACCAACAUAUAAUUAUAUUUGAAAUCUGAGCAAUUUCCCAAGCAACACAACCAUUAACUUUCAAGCUCACCUUUCAUCUUAAUUAAGCAUGUUGAUGCCAACACCGUCAUCACUUGGCCAAAGACUAUUUUCAAAUCGAAGUAUACUCCAAGGCAAUCAAGCCCAGUGCUCAGACCAUUUUUCUACAAAGAGUCAACUGCAAGGUCCUCGCCCACCUCCAGCUUUCUGUCAAUUUAAUCGAAACAAGGCCUAAUCAAACUCAAACUUUCAACUGAGGAUUGAGAUGACCCAAAGAAACCAUAACAACCACUGUUGAGAUGAACACGGUGGUUCAAGUUCAAGAAUCCAGAAAACACAAGUCUUCAAAUUGAAUCGAGAUGGAGAGUAGCUUACCAAAUCACAUGCAGCUCGAAUAGCCGCCGGAGUUGCCGGAAAUCACAGAAAACCCGUCAAGAAAGUAAAACUACCGCUAGUUGAAUCUCCUCUCUCAGCCGUCGAUUGAAUGAGCUACCACCACCUUCGUGUCGGCGAUGAUGAGAGGAAGCUAUUGGUGCCGCUACGUCGUCGAUCGGUGGCCGGACGACAGAGAAACAACCAUCGGGUCGGUUGGCGACCUGCUUUGGGUCCGAGAGCUUCGUUCUCUCUCUCUCUCUCUCUCGUGCCUUCUCGUGCCUUCUUCCUUUUCAUCUAAAGUUGAAAACAACAGCCAAGAUCAAACGGUGAUUGAGAUCGACGGUCCAUAUUGCAUUUCUUAAAUAUUAAUAUAUAUACUUUUCAAAACAACAUAACUUCUAAAAUUCAUAAAAACUAUAUUAGGUAUCUCAAAAAUCUACCGAAGAUUCUUACGAAUACGAACUCGUCGUAUCGUGUACUUUAUUAUCCAAGUCUUAACUCAAGGACUUGACCUUGUAAUUUUUUUUUCACAGAUUUCUUUGAGCACAUUUUUAAAAUCGUUGAGAUCGAUAAACUAUUUACCAAACGACCUCAAACUAAGCUCGUAAAAUUUUCCGAGUGUUACAACCAAGUUGCGCCGCUGGAACCCGAUUAUGCUCCUUCUGCAUCAAUUCGAUUCCCGAAACCGCAAACCAGCACCUCUAGUGCUUCGAACCCCGAUACCGCUCUUCAUCGAGGGACCACCAUACCCUGAACACCGAAAGUCGUCCACAAGGACAUAAGGACGACGUUGCCACCUCGAUGCACUAAACCCUAGAUGUUUGGGGAGCUCCAAAAAGAAAAUGGGAGCAAUAUUCGAGUUUGUCUACUAUACAGAUGUGUACUGUAUACAAACUCAAAAAGUGGUUCACUUACUUCUAUUUAAAGGCAUACAAAAGGCAUUUUGAGGGGAUAAUUGUCAUUGUUAUAUUUUCAAGCAAUGAUAGCCACAUAUUUAGUUUGUAUGGUAUGCAUUUGUAUACUAUAAUUUUCUGCACUAUUCUCAAAUUAUUUUGGUUUUGAUGUUGCAUAUACUUCACACCUCCAACACCUUGAUCAGAGAUCAAUGCAUUGUAUUGCACAUACUGGUAGUGAAAUUAAGAGAAGAUCAAUGGAGCCACUCUAAAUACUUAACACAUAAAAUUCUUCAAAUAAAAUUCAUAAUAACUAAAUCUUUCUAAAAUUAAUGUGGAUAGUGCUUUUCUAAGGAGACUGGUUGUGGUGACGCAAUGGAGUACUAGUGAGGAAUGAUUCUGGCAUGGGUAUUGAUGCAUUGGCAAGGCGUUUUCCACAUGCACACUUGGAGGUGUGUAGAGAUAGUGAUGCAGUACAAGAUUUUAGCCAAAUUCAAUAAAGAAUCUCGAAACGAAAGAAACAUCAUCACAUUAAGAAGAAUGAUUUGAAUAUUAGAAAUUUGUAUUCAAGUAAGCUUCUUAAUGAUGGAAUUAACCAUAAAUUACUUUUGGAUAUAUCGGGAUUUCCAAGCAAAAAGACAUAUUCUGGAUUGUGAAUCGGAUUGGAGCAAAUUUUAGUCAAAACAUCCGUUUGGAACGCAUGAUACAUUUCCAGUAUGGGAACGACGAGAUCUACAAGACUCACUUUAGUGUGUCCUAUCAGAUUUAAGCUAGUAGGUAAAUUGACAUGGAAAGUGACUCUGCCAUCCUUAUUGCUGCUCUCAAGAGUGAGGAGAGAAGAAUUUCACUUUAGUGAGUCUUAUCAGAUUUAAGUGAGUCAUAUCAGAAUUUCACUUGAGUGAGUCCUAUCAGAUUUAAGUGAGUCCUAUCAGAAUUUCACUUUAGUGAGUCCUAUAAGAUUUAAGCUAGUAGGUAAAUUGACAUUGAAAGAGGCUCUGCCAUCCUUAUUGUUGCUCUCAAGAGUGAGGAGAGAAGAAUUUCACGGAGGUAAGUCAAGUUUUAGAAGUUAUUGUUUAUGUAUAGCUCGAGAUAUAGGUGUCAUGUCACCCCGAUACAAAACUUUACCAUUAAUAUAAUAAAUGAAGUCGGUCGUGGGGCUGAGCCUCCCGCGGGUUCCAAACCCCCUCUCAAAAAAAAUUUAUUAUUUUAUUUAUUAUUAUUUUUUUUGGAAUUAAUGAAAUGCUUCAUUAAUGGUUCCCCCAAAGGGUUAAACCCAAAAGGAAGAGCCCAAACAACAUAAUUUAUUAAAUCACAGUGUACAUUAGUAUUACGAACAUAUAUAUAUGGCUUAAAAAGAAACAAAGAUGGUCCUUUAGCUUAUCGAAAAAAAAAAACAGAGAUGGUCCUUAUAUGGUAGAUGUUUCUGCCGUAUAUUACUUUACUGCAUUUUCAUUUCCCUGCGUCUGUCACAGCUGGGAGGUUUUUGUCCUUAAUUAACUCCUUAUCGAUCUCACCACAACCUACAAUAACUACCGGCACCAUUGGUCUUCCGAGAUAAGUUGGGACGCUCUCCAUCUCAUGAAGUAUGUCCAUCCCGUUCACAACCUUGCCGAAAACAACAUGUUUCCUGAAAGUAUAAACACGUACGGUGAACCAAUAAGUCUGUAUUUCUAUAUAUGUGACCCGUUUUUGGUAUAGGGGUGAUGAAAAACUGUAAACAUUACCCGUCGAGCUGAGGCAAACAUGAGAAAGUGAUGAAAAACUGUGAUCCAAUUGUCAAUAUGCCUUCAUGGUUUGCCAUCGAUAGUAAAUAGGGUUCGUCAUGCUUCCCUAUGUUCUCAACAGGAUCAGUAACCGGAAAACAUUUAUUGUCACUAGAUUUUACAGCAAACUGUCCACCGGUUCCUGCAAAAGUUCAUCGUUACAAGUGCAGGAAUGAACGAGUUCUUCCUCAAAAAAAUUAAAGUGCAGGAAUGAGUUCAUACUUUUAAAAAGAAAAAUCAAGUUAUAUACAAGUUAAGAAUCAUACCAUCGCCGGUUGUAAAGUCACCACCCUGUGUAGAGUAGAGUCGACAGAGAAAAGAGUAAAGAGUUAAAUAUCAUGCAUGUAAUCAAAAUAAAAUAAAAUAAAAAAUCGUGGCAAAGAAGAGGACAUACUUGGGCUUGAAGUCCUUUGUUUAUGAGAUGAAAUUUGGAUCCUUUAUAUUGGAGGAGUUGCGGCGAUUCUCCGGAACUUCCGGGUCUCUGGUAACCUAAAUAUAAAAUAUUUUAUAUAUAUAUAUAUAUAUAUAUAUAUAUAUAUAUAUAUAUAUAAUCAUUAAAUCUCAUUCGCAAGAAGGGAUAUUUUCACAUAUAUAAUCAAAAUUACCUUUACAAAGAUUUCUAAAAUUUUUGGCCGUACUUGGAACCUGGUCAUCAAACAGCUGCACAAUGUGAAAAGGUUAAACUUGUACGUUGCCUCAAAAAAACAAAUUCUUUUCAGAUUUUUCAUUACCUUGAUUUCAAUUUGUCCUUUCUUCACGCUAUCAAUUUCUAUCUCCAAGUAGACCAGAGGUUUCUCCUAAAACGAAUGUAACGCAAUGUUGGUUAAGAAACAUACUUAGGUAAUAUAGCUCCCGAAAAUAACAGAAUUUUUUUACCUCGUUGGUGCCUUUAUUCUUCUUCUUGGCCAUGGUGACCAACACACUGACCCCAAGUCACGAGUUUAUUGCAAAGUGCCCAGAAUUAUGUAAAUCCAAUAUGGCUAGUCUACCUUAUCUCACAAUUCACUUUAUCACAACUGUAUUCUUGUAUUUUGCACUACAAGAAUGUUAGACAAUAGUAAUGUCGUACACCUUAACACACAAGACACAAUUAACUUUUGAUCUUUGAUUCACGACGUUGUGCUAAUAUAUAUAGCAACGACGAACUUAUUCCUACUUCCCACUUACUUGACAUCAUAAGGAAAAUUUUGCUUUAGCAGUAAAAAAGAUUCCAUAAUUCGGGAAAGUUAAUAUACAAAACUAUUAGAAUAUCUCACUUACUUUCUAACAAAGAGUUUUUUUUCACCAACGGUCUCUCAACUCUGGUGCACCUACCAAUGUGAUACCUCAACUCUCAUUCAUACUAUUGUAGUACCCAAACUUUAUAUUUGCCAUCAUUGACGUACUUACAUCAGAUUUUUGUAACAUCUCAGUUAUUGGUGUGACAUGGCAACAUCAUGGGGCCCAAAAUAAGGGGCAAACAUGAACUGUUACAAACAAACCUAAUUUGAUCAAAAGAGAAAAUUACAUAUAAGGAGCUGAUUAAUUAUUUUUUUUGAAAAGAGGAACUGGCUAAAUUUAAAAACACAAAAAACUAACAUUCAAUAUUUUUUUAUACAAAUUAGGACAUGAACCCAAACCCAACACUAAUAAUAGCAGACCUGACCCGAAUUGUAGAUAUGAAAUGACUAAAAUGCCCAACUCUAAAUUAAAAGGCACACACCUCGUCCUUUAUCUUCUUCUAUCACCUAUCACCUAUCACCACAGAUUUGUUCCUCUCUCUCUCUCNNNNNNNNNNNNNNNNNNNNNNNNNNNNNNNNNNNNNNNNNNNNNNNNNNNNNNNNNNNNNNNNNNNNNNNNNNNNNNNNNNNNNNNNNNNNNNNNNNNNNNNNNNNNNNNNNNNNNNNNNNNNNNNNNNNNNNNNNNNNNNNNNNNCGACGGCUCCACCAAUCCCUUUCGGUUUCAUUGUACAUAUUCCUCGGUCAUCCACUGCGGUCAAAAUCCAAUCUGCUACUAAAGCUACUUGAUCUGAGGCCAACGACAUGAGCAAUCAACAUUGUCAAGGAGGAAGAUGAGUUGAUUCUUGUUCAAAGAAUAUCAAUUCAAUUGUCGCUGAAUCUUGGGGGCUCAGAUUUGGGUAUAUGAUUGGGUUGAGCUUCUGAGUAGCAGUGGGAGGUUGAGGUCGGACGAAGACAAUGCCUUGAAAGUUGAGCUAUAUUAUUGGGUUGAGGUAAUGCAUUGAAAUGGACUAUACUGGUUGAGGCAGUAGCAGUGGGUUGAGUAGCAGAGUGGGAUGAGUAGCAAACGUAGGCAGUAGAAGGCAGAUUAGUAGUAGAAGUCGGCAUUAGCGGUUAGAUUCGCGGUAGUAGUAGUCAUUUCGUCAUCAGUAGUAGAAAAUUUCUAAUAGCGACAGUAGCAGGCUAGUAGCUUUAUGAAGGUUUCCUAUCGCGACAGUAGCAGCUUUGUUUGAUCCCGGUGAAUUGCCUGAACAAAAAUUGUAAUAGCACCUUUUUAUCGAGUGCCACUGUGCUACUGCACCCAAUGUGCUAUUGUGUUAUUCGGUAGUGUGCUACUGUGCUACUCGUCGACAGUAGCAGUUAAUAUGUAGUGAAGGGUAUUCUGGUAAAAUUGUAGCGACAGAUGACAUGUAGAUAUUAGUUUGUCCUAAUUUGUUAAUAUUUGUCCAUAUGUAAGAUAUUGUGUAAAGAAUGUAUUUAUAAACUAAAUUUGGUUAGUAACUUUAUAGUAAUUUACUAUGGUGAAAAUCGGUGUAUGUCUUCCAAAAGCCAAAAGCCAAAAGCCGACUCUCUAUCUCAUGAUUCUCAUCUAUGUCGACUCUAUCUCAAAAGUGAGAAGAUUUCAUCUUUCUUCACCUCGAUCAAUCUUUUACUUGAAGAAGAUUCAACAAGUGAAAAUCAGUAGACGGCUCGAUUCAAAUCUCUAACAGUAGAGAGUAUCUUUGAUGGCGAAGAUGUGGAUUGUGGAGGAUGUUUCAGGAAUCUGGUCAGCCACCAAAAAGUAAGUCGUCUUUACUAGUCGAGUGAAACGAGAAUCCCACAAAAUCACACAUGACUGAACAAAAGAGAACGAUUUUUUUUUUGGCUUUAAACCUGGGUUUUCGACAUCGGUGAUUCGGUGUGCAGAAGGUCUGAAGGUUUGAUAAAGAAAUUGUUUUAGUUGGAGUUGGUGAUAAAGAAUGAAGCAUAAUUGCAUAAAGCCAAAUAGAUUUGUGUGUUCGUGGUUUUAUAUUGAUCUUGCUCCUUGGACUUUAGUUGCCAACCCAGAAGCUUUGGAUCAGCUGUUCUUCUUCUUCUUCUUUUUUUGUUCAAAUCGGUUCUGUUAAACUAGUAAAAGUUCAAUGUUUUACUUGAUCCUUUAUAUGUACUCUUGACAAGUAGUUCAUGCUUUAGUUUAGUGUUUGACAUUGUUGAAUGAUGAUUGAAUACACAUCUAAAUGAUAAUUUUUAUUUCAGUUCCAGAUAAUCAGUACAGAUUGGAGAUUCAUCAUGGUGGUGGUUAUUUUGAGAAGCAGUUAGAUGGGAGUAAGAAAUAUAAAGUGGCUAGGUUUAACAAGAUGGGAGGGAAGAUCUACUUGGACGGAUUAGACCGUGAACUCCUGUCGUUGAUUGAAUUGAACAACAUUGCCUAUGCUUUGGGGUACAGGGAGGAGCCUAUUUCUUAUCACUUCAACUUCCAAGGAAAACAUGUAAUGAGGGGUGGAUUCCAAUCAAAAACGAUGCAGAGGCAUUGGAGAUGGUUAAGCUGAUUCCAUCGAAGACCAAACAAAUUAAGUUGGUGGUAGGAGGAAAAAAAUGGAGGCUGAAUUGGGUGAUUUAAGGCCAGAAGAUCUGAUGAAAAUCCACUUAACACUGUAUCUGCAGCAGAAAAGGAGAGAAUGUUUGAAGAAGCUAAUUUGCAUGCUAAACAGUUAGAUACAUGUGGAGUGGGAGUUAAUGAGGAUGGUGGCCCAGAUUUGAUUGAUCUUGAAGUGGAGCUGUAGAGGUAGGUGAAGAUGUUAACGUGGGUGAUCCGGGUAUGGUUGGUGAAGACUCAAGUGGUAUAAAAGGCCUGUGCCAGCUGAGAAGGUUAACAAAAGCGGGAGAAAGCCUGCAGAGCCAAGAUAUAAAACAAGGGAUAAGCCCAGCAAGCAAUCAGAGGUUGUAGUUGAUGAUGAUGAAUCUGAUGAUGGUUCAGAUAUCUAUGUUGACUCAGACUAUGAUCUUGAAAAUGACGAGUUUGAUGAUUUUUAAUCCGAGAGUUGUUGAAGAGUUUGAAGAUACGGGUUUUAGAGGAUAUUGUUCUGAUGAAGCAGGAGAUGCUGAUGAGCUUAUGCUUAUGUACCCUAUUGCUUAUGCUGUUGUAGAGGUGGAGAACCAAGACUCAUGGACCUGGUUCCUUGAAUAUCUUAAGUGAGACUUAGAGAUUGAAUGGGACAGCAGCUAUACAUUCAUGACAGAUAAACAAAAAGGGUUAGGAAAUGCCAUUGCAAGUAUGUAUUUCAGUUUUAUUUCAUGUUAUUAAUUCCAUUCCGGUGUCAUUCUUUGUUCACUAACAUGAUCUUAAUGGGAUUUUGCAGGUUUGUUUCCUAAUGCCGAGCAUAGGCAUUGUGUAAGGCAUCUCUACAAUAAUUUCAAAGCCAAGCAUCCGGGAGAAGGGCUAAAACAGAUGGUAUGGAAUGCAGCCAGAUUAAGCACAAUUAUGUGGUACAACAGACACAUGGCAGAUCUAAAAGAUUUGAGUGAGCAACGUAUCUAAGACAAACUAUGAGAGACUUGCAUGGAAGCAAGUACGUACUGCCAUUUUUUUAAAGGAUUAAUGCCAAACCAAUACUAAGUGUCACGGACUGUGGAUUUUUAUGUUUUAAUUCUACUACACGACGUGGAUUUGAUCUAACUAUUCGACAUCCGUUGGUUAAUUAGAGCUAUAUGGGAAAUUGUUGCAAAGUCCUCAUCGGUGAAGGCAACAAAAUUGCCUUUAAAAUUUUUAGGAAAGUAUUUUUUUUCCCAGUAGAUUUCCUCUAGAUUUGGAUUAUAUUUCUCUACUUUCCUAAACCUACGUUAGGAUUCCUUGCUUAAGUUGGGUGGUUGUUGCUAUAUAAGCAUAGACGUGCUCUAUAUUUUUUUAAUAUGAGAAGUGUUUUGUGGUCUGGGUCGUGAAACAAUCAAGGAGACUGACAUCAAGUUAUUAUGUUUGUUCUUAUCUAGAUUACAUGUAAAGCAUGGUUUGUUGCAACGGUUACUGAUUAAAUACUUUGCUAGCUAACUGGUUGUCAAUAUUCUCAUUACUGUGCAGAGUCUUCCAAUAUAAUUUCUCCUUUGCGCGCAGAAUGGAUGCACUAGAUAUUGAGAGCCGCUUGCGUAAGGAGGCUUUCGCUUGUUCGCAGACAUUGGAAGUAUGCUAUCAUAUUUCGACUUUAGAUAUUGGAGACCCGGAAAUUUGUUACGGUAUUUUUGAACCAGUUCCAAAACAAUAUUCUCGUGGAGUAAUAAGGAGGUUCGAAACUUUGGAAGAAGCCAGUUCUCACUAUCAAAGUUUGAAGGAAAACAACCCUAGCCCCUCAUACGUGAUAAAACCAGAUGGGCAUUUGCCUCGGCACUCUGAUGAUGGAGGUGCUUGUAAGGUCAAAUAUUCUUGUGUGUUUGAAAAAUUGCAGCACUGGUUGGACAACUUUGUAAAGAAGAAUAGGUCUGAUGUCGAUCUUUUUAAGUUUUUGGAUAAUCUUGGUCCAGCAUUGGAGUAUCGGUAUAAAAAGACGGGUUCGAUUGGCGACAUUGUGAAUGACACGGUCAUAACCGAUGAUGGACGAGUUCUCUUCUGGAAUUGGGCUCCAAAAAGUAAAGAUUUCAAAACUGAAGUUGGUAUACUCCGAAACUUUAUUGUAGAUAUAAAGACGCUAGCAAAGAAUCCUAGUCGUCUUCAAGCAUUUGAGGACUUUAUCAACGACGUCAUUCUAGUUUUUCCAGAUCCCGCUACUGAUUUGCAAUUAUGGGUUUUCAAUUAUCCAGUAUUUAUGACCAAGAAAAAGAGUGUGAGGUUUCUUGAAGCUUUGCACAAGAUGGUGUGUGAUCCCAGUUAUCCAAUGUCUACAAAUGUUGAAUUCAACGAUGCAAUACGAAAAUAUGACACGACAUGGAAAAAUAAUUUGAGCACAUACCUCGUGUUGCAAAAAAUUUUGACUUUUCGUGGUGGUUACAAAGUGGAUAGCUUUGAACUACCAAGAUAUGUAUAUAACAGCGUUAAACACUACGGCCAACAUGCACAAAAUUUGAAUCAGGUAUAUAUAUGUUCUCACAUCGAGAGGUUCUAAUUUUUUGCGUUGAUUUUGACGGAUCCGAAUAUGUGCAUGUUUGCUAAUUAUUAUUUGUUAUUUCCUUGAAUGAACAGCCUGAACUCACCCAAGUCGAGGUUAUAGACUUGUUCUAUUCUAUCCAGGAUUUUGAAGCUUUGCCAGAAGACUUAUUUCGAGCAUUAUACGAGGGUGUGAAUUCGCUUGAGCAAAACUUGCAAACUCCUUCGAAUUACUCAUUAGAGAAGGUGUUGGACAUGGUGAAAGGUUUGUUUUACAAAUGUUUAAUUUGACACUGCAACUUUGACAUGUAUAUUGUUUUUUUGAUAAGUUGACGAGAAUAUUGUUUUCUUAUUGAUAGGAGGAGAAAGUAUGUGAGAAAGAGGCACGAGAGAGAGAGAGAGAGAGAGAGAGAGAGGAGAAGGAGCAGGAGUCCCAUUUCAUCUUCUUCUUUUUUGGUGGUUCGGCUUAACUAUUUUUGUCCUUUUUAGCGUGUGUAUUUUUUUUUAUUAAUAAAAAAUAACUUAUAUUGUAAGACAACUUCAUGUUCAUUCUAUUAUAAGAUCCGAAUCAUCAUCUAAUAUCUCUCUCGUAAUGCCCUAAUGGAUUUUUUUUUCGGUCGGAAAGAUAACAUCAUUGAAGAGCUAAAAGGCUCAUGGCACAUUUACAAACCUAUGUGGAUAUAGUUGUUCUACAAUAAAAUUUAGGUUGAUGUUAUUAACACAUCUCAUCUAUUUUUCUAUCCACACAUUUUAAUUUUAUUUACAAACUUACAACUUGAAUUAACAAAAAAAAAUGUGUUAACCAUGUGUACUUCUUUAAAACAGUGACAAGAAGAUAUUUUUGCCGAAUUUAUCUAAAGAAACAUAAGAAAGUCGUUAUUCAAAAUAUGGUCUAACACAGCACAACGAAAAAACACAAACACACUAUACACACUAUACACACUAUUAGUUGGAUCAUAUCACCUGCAGAGUAAAACUAGAGUACCAAAGACAAAGUGAACCAAUACAACUACUUCAAUCAUGAUAUAGGACCCUUCCACUAAGGGAUUGAGCAUUACACCAACGUACUUUUCGAUCACAUUUUUCAAUCUUAACAGUUUAUAACAUAAUUACCUACUGUCUAUAAGAUUAGCCAGGCUCCGGUUGUUGAGUUCGUAGAGGGCUGCAAUACACGAAGUGCCUUCAUCUCAUCUAUAUCAUAUAACUCGGACCAUGUAUCAAUAAGGGGAUUAACAGGGAUUCUUUUGUCCUCAGUUCAUUAGUCUAAGCAUUUUGGAGGCGGAAAAAGGGUUUUAAUUUGAUGAAGAAUCUUGCAUUCUGGAUUUCUAGAGGCUGCAGAGGUCUUUGCCUAUGGAGUUUCUAAAGCACACUACAGAUUAAUAGAUAGUACUCCUAGUAGUUAAAGUAAUUGGCAGAUGGGCUACAGAACUUUUCUAACACCGUAAGUGGCAGCUUCUUCCAACUGCAAUUUUUCAUGUCAAAUUUUUUUAUCAGCUGCUGUUUAAGUUACCAUAAAAAAAUUCAUGGUGAAGGGAUCAGAGAUGGGCUUGUCAUGCUUGUCAUGUACAGUUUCCUAAGUUCGGAGUAUAGUAACCUUUAGAGAGUAAAUCUUUUAAGAAGUGAGGAAGAAAAUUUUAGCACCUUUAAGCCCAUCAAGAGAGAUAUUAAUUCAACCAAGGCAUAUGAAUAAGCUGGUGAGCUUCUGGUAUAGGUGUAAGAAAUUCCUGGUAAUAGAAAAACAAAGAAAUUAAAAAUGAGUAACAUAAACAAAAGCUUGUCACCACAAAUGUAAGUGAAGAAGCAAAUAUAAGUGUCUUUCUAGCUUCUUGUUAGUCAAUAUUAGGAAAACUACUGUAAAGAACUACCCCUGAUUUUUUUUUUUAUAUUUUAUUUGGGAAAAUUCCCUCUGCGUGCUUAACAACAAGGGUGGCUUUUGGGCCGUGCGAUGUGUGCGGUCGUACAGGACUUCCGAUUUUCGGGAGCCUCCAAAAAUGUUUAUCAUAUAGAGAUCAAAAAUAACAAAAAACCUUAUUUGUUAAUUGAUCGAUUUCACUUUUCGAGUAUAGAAGUUUUCAGGUUCAUUCCCUAUCACAUACAACUCCUCUUCUUCUUUUUUAAGUUCAAGAACUUGAAGGAUAUGUUGUCUCCUGUAUUAGUUAAGUGAGAGAUUCUAAUUUUGGUUUAUAGGUUCUCACCUGAUAAGGCCACAUCUGAAAGUUCGUAUAAAACCUCCUAUUACAGCCCUGCUCAAAAACACCGUAAUUUCUGGCCAUUUUCUUUUUCAAUGUAUGGGUCACAUAUCUAGUAGAUAUACGAUAACAUCCAAGCAUAUACAUAUAGAUAUAAACUGGAUUUGGGAUCAACCUCAGACUUUCCAGGCUGGUUGACAAUGUCUUAGCUACACAAAAUUGAAAACUUCUUUGAAAUUAAAAGUGAAUGUACGAUUACUUGUUUAGAACUUUCCUGGAACCGAACAUAUAUGUAGCUGACAAGUUCGAAAGCUUAUUAAUCAAAGUUGCAUAUAUUAUUUUUUUGAUACAAAAAAGUAAAAUUACGGGUCGGGCAACCCAAGUUUAUACUAACAAAAAGUAAGACUCUAGUAGCUGAACAUGGAAAUCUAUUACUCUAAAUGUGACCAUUCGGAAGUUAGUGUCCUUCAUGAGCAAUGAUGUCUGUCAUGUUAUUGGCUUCUCUAAACACAUGCAUAAAGCAAACAGAAGAGAAGGAUAUUGCAAAAUCUCUAAUGUCAUGAAUGAGCUUGAGAAGUCUCCAAGGGAUGCUGAUUCUUCUAUUAAUAGCGUCAAUAACCAGCUUUGAGUCACAUUCCACUUGAAUAUUCUGGUAGCCUUGGUCCUUUAUUUUUUACUAAUUAAGCUGUCUCUUAAAGCUACAACUCCUGCAACUGGAAUAGUUGUCUUCUCUAAUCUUGAUUACAAAGAAGUUGCAUAUAUUUUGAUUAAUACAAGAUCUCAAUACCACACGCGUGUUAGCAGAUUUUACAUUUUUAUAGCGUCGGCCGGAUUGUAGUAAAUGGAUUGUAGUCUGUAGAUAGAAACAGAAAAGUGAGAAAGUACAUUGUAUUGAUCUACAUGUUGCCGUAUACAAAAAAUUUCAUUUAUUUCCCGAUCUAAUCUAUACAACAACAGACAAUGAUAACUACAUAUACCGGUAAAUAGAACUUUACUGGUAGGGGAACAUAAAAAAAUGAUAAGUUACAACCUUAGUUUUCUAACAACCACCACCACCUCCUCCACAACCACCACCACCACCACCACCUCCACCUCCUCCACAACCACCACCGCCACCAACAUCACCACCACCUCCUCCACAACCACCACCGCCACCACCAUCACCACCACCACCACAACCGCCUCCUCCACCACCGCCACCCCUCCUUUUCUUGCUUGAUGAUCCACAAGCAAAUAUGACCAUCGAUAUGAGUGAGAGAGACAUAAGAACCAUGCCAACCAAAAGCAGGCCGCCAGAGUUGUCUGCCAAAAUACUGAGACCUACUCCCACUCCAUGACCACCACCACCAACAACAAAAUAAUUUCUAGCCAUUUUUUGGGUCUCGUUGCGUAACAAUACUUGCCGUAUGAACAAAUACUGUGUAGAAUUAAAAGCGAAGAACAGCUAUAUAUAUAGGAAUUCCAAGCAUACGUAUCACAUGCACCUAUGAGGUGUUGAAGUUUCAAAGCCAUAUUCUUCAAGUAUUUGAAUUGGCAGCUACAGAUUGAAAGGUUGAAGCUUAGACAAGUCUUACAAUUAAGGUGAUCCACAUAUAAGAACAUAUAUAUAUAUAUAUAUAUAUAUAUAUAUAUAUAUAAUGCAAAAUGUACACAUCACAUUUGCUGACAUUCGUUUGAGGUUGAUCUAACAACAACAAUGCGAAAAGUCUAUAUGUUGUACUUGUAUACCAAUAAAUUCCAAGCAAAAACUAUGGAUUUCUUGAGUUUGGACUCCCAAAGUAUAUCAAUAAAUAAGAUCUACAUAUAAGAACAUAUAAGAAAAGAAUUUUCUGCUUCACAUGCUUCAUUUUCAAUCGAUCGAGUCGUAGACUACCUCGCUUAUGCUACUACAACUGCUUAUACUAGCAGUGGCAGCUCUAGACACAACUUGCAGCAGCACUAGCCUUACUUGCCUGCAGGUAAGAACUGAGUCACUAACGAAACUUACAAAGAGUGCACAACUGGGUAGUAAAACACAGGUUAGAGAUAUACGAGUGUCGACUGAAAAAUUACAUGUUCAAAACUAUCAAAACAGCUGAACCACUUCACAAUAGCUAGAUCAUCAUCACACAUCAUUCCACAAAAUCAAAAUCAGAACAAUUCAAUCAGAAGUUAAUGAGACUUUAUUGCAUUCAUAAUGCAGUCUUCUUUUUCUUUUUUCAAUCUCCUACCUCCACUUUGAAUAAAAAUUCCUAACUUAUUCCUGUAAAACAUGGCUUGUAAAAGUAAAGCCAACAACAUCAGUAGCCAAAUUCAUAUAUAGCAAUUCACAUGGUCCAAAUUCAUAUCAGUAGCCAAUUCACAUGAUACCCUCUCAAUUCUCAGUAUAUUCAAUCAUAUUGAUAGCAUCCUCUUCAAUACCAAACUCUCUUCAAUCACCACGAUAACAUCCCACAUCACAAGUUUGAAGCUUGUAACAUAGACCUAUUCUCCAUCUAAACAGGAAUCGCCAACAGCGUAGGAGAUACCAGUAGUUGUUGUAUCAUUAUCUUCUGAGAACAUACAAACUGAAAUUGAAAAGUAAGUUGCUUGAACCAGAAACAUAUUAAUUAUUUAGUCUUCUUUAUUUUUGAACGUAGGUCCAUUUAUCUCAAGAGCAAAUAAAAUAAUUAAAGUGCAACAUUCAGACAUGUAAAAUCAAGCCACUCACUAAACGCAAAAAAGUAGCAACAAUAUGCUUCAAAUGAUGCAGCUAAACAUCGAAGAGAUAUGACGAAAAUAUAAAUCCAAAGAUAACUUCAGUACAUUACCAAAGACAAUGAGGAUAACAGCUAGCUAUGAAGACCUGCUUUGUAAGCUCUUUAGACCAACUAGCUACACAAGUGUAGAUAAUCCACGCGUAUGUAUUUUUCCUUUCUCUUGUGCAGAAGAUUCACUAUCAAUAAACACAAAGCAAUUAGUAAGUUAUCAUGAGCUAGAUUAACGAUUUGACAAGAAUGACAAUAAUACAAAAACAUGAUGUUAAGGUGCUUACAUUCCUACAGUGUAACCAAGUAAUGUGCCGUCUUGCUGAAUAAGGACUCCAUUUGAGAGUCUCCGAGCAACAACUGAGGAUGGUUGUUGAUUCUUUUCGGUAGUGCGCGCAAUCGCUGCCGCUGCUGGGAGUGUAGUCGAAUGUGAAUUUGUGGCAAUGAAGCUCGCAACCGACAUUUUCCAAAUAAUCGUCCCAAACCAAAGCAAACCUUUCGGUUCCAAUUUGGAAUAAGAGCGGUAAAAAGUAGUUGUAAACGCGGUCCUCCUCGAACCCUUCUGGGAUAACCGGAAGAGCAUCAUCAAGGCCCUUGACAGGUUAAUCGAGCCACUGACGCUGGCGAAUAUCAAACACGUACAAACCAGGCUGCUGGGAGAAUAAGGAACUGCAUGUUGGUUUCUUGGUCCCAAAGCAUACUAAGUAGGAGUCACCGUAGAGCACCACUCCGGGAGCCAAGCGACUUCAGAUCCUUGUUCCCUUGGCCGCCGUCCGUCCUCAAUUACGAACCAUAAACGCGACUUGUCUUCGGCCCUAACCUGUAGGUAAAUCGGUCUGUUCCACUCAGCAACCUUCUUCUCCUCUCUUGUUCCCGUCCUCUCCAUCGUUCCCAUCUUCUCCCUUUCGAACAAAUCAUAGUUUCGAUCAACUUUUCUCUUCUUUGACCGACUGCGAGACAGAAGUACUCCUCCCAUCGCUUUGUCUUGAUGCCUAUAUACACACACACACUUACAUAGAUGACCUAGUUUUCAUUGGACCGAAGAAAAAGAAAACGAAUAAACCAAAAAGGAAGAUGAAGAAGAAGAAGGAAGGUCUUAAAACAACGUAUAAUAUCAAUUAUUUUUGGCAAAUUAUUAUUCCCUUAAUGUAUGAGACAUUUGGCUCUCUGUAUUGUAACUAUUGUUUCCUUGCUUCAGCUUGAAAUGGAAGCCGGGGAUGAGAUUGAUGCUAUCUUGCACCAGACUGAAGGAGCUGCAC
rnacentral:lncRNA from 1 species